rnacentral:rRNA from 1 species
AAUAGAUACCCGGGUAGUCCACGCCCUAAACGAUGUCAACUGGUUGUCGGGGAAGCAAUUCCUUGGUAACGAAGCUAACGCGUGAAGUUGACCGCCUGGGGAGUACGGCCGCAAGGUUAAAACUCAAAGGAAUUGACGGGGACCCGCACAAGCGGUGGAUUAUGUGGAUUAAUUCGAUGCAACGCGAAAAACCUUACCUACCCUUGACAUGUACGGAACUUGGCAGAGAUGCCUUGGUGCCCGAAAGGGAGCCGUAACACAGGUGCUGCAUGGCUGUCGUCAGCUCGUGUCGUGAGAUGUUGGGUUAAGUCCCGCAACGAGCGCAACCCUUGUCAUUAGUUGCUACAUUCAGUUGGGCACUCUAAUGAGACUGCCGGUGACAAACCGGAGGAAGGUGGGGAUGACGUCAAGUCCUCAUGGCCCUUAUGGGUAGGGCUUCACACGUAAUACAAUGGCCGGUACAGAGGGCUGCCAACCCGGCGAGGGGGGAGCUAAUCCCAGAAAGCCGGUCGUAGUCCGGAUUGUUCUCUGCAACUCGAGAGCAUG